UACUUAUUAUUUUUCCAUUUUUCUAUCUUUGAUAAAUUUAGAAGAUUAUUUUAUACUACCUACAUAUAUUUUUCAACAACUUAUCACACACAGUAGCCCUUUCUGCCUUUGAAUCGUACACGGUUAUCCAGCUGCAAAUUUUUUGUUAGCAUAUUCGUCUACUCCAUUCUUCAGAAAUACUUACCAAAGAUCUUUUGCAUUCAAAAAAAGUAUUUCGAAGGGCAUGACAUUCAGGUCUUUACAUGAUGAAAUAAGGUGAUAUAGUAGCUUACAAUACGACAGCAUUCACUUUCCAGAAGGCACAUUUUUAGAUCUGCUCUAAUACCUGCACACGGCGACUUAUCAGCCAGCGUUUCUCCUUCAUCUUCAUAUCGUAUCAUCUUAUAAACCAAUUCA